AUUGGGGGGAAUGAAGCCUGGUCCGACGACACUUACAUAAGAUCAAUCAUAAAGAUUAAUGAUCUUGUUGGUGGCCUCGAGCCAGACAACAUUCCCCUCAAA
rnacentral:pre_miRNA from 1 species